rnacentral:lncRNA from 1 species
AAUGCGUUUACGCAGCCCUGCUCAACGUACUGUGUGGCUUAGCUCCAGACUCCGGCCGGAGAUGUCGCUAUUCCCAUCGUAGGAGUUGAUCAGACUCUCAAAUAUUACAACGAGACUAGGCUUGGUCUGUAAUACGGGGCGCACGUUCGGGACGAGAGCCAAAAGACGAGCUGGUGGCUCUCUCCCACGCACUUGGCCUCGAGACGUCGCUGCCUCCAUGCAGUACGACGCUCUUAUCCGAACAGAUCUUUCUAUAGUCCGCGCAUACAAGCGUGACUCCAAAUCAUGCAGAACGUAAAUCUUAUUGUCUUGUCUGCACACUAAUGAAAAGAGGGAAAUGCAAAGACCGGACCCAAUGGUCGGUGUGACAUGGCAAGCACGCUC